rnacentral:rRNA from 1 species
CCUACGGGAGGCAGCAGUGGGGAAUAUUGCGCAAUGGGGGAAACCCUGACGCAGCAACGCCGCGUGAGUGAGGAAGGACUUCGGUCUGUAAAGCUCUGUUAAUGAGGAAAAAUGGUAGUUGGUCUAAUAGGCCGAUUACUUGAUGGUACUCAUAGAGGAAGCACCGGCUAACUUCGUGCCAGCAGCCGCGGUAAUACGAAGGGUGCAAGCGUUGUUCGGAUUUAUUGGGCGUAAAGCGCGCGUAGGUGGACCUGCAAGUAAGAUGUGAAAUCUCGAGGCUCAACCUCGAAACUGCGUCUUAAACUACAGGUCUAGAAUCUCGGAGGGGGAAGGGGAAUUUCGCAUGUAGGGGUAAAAUCCGUAGAUAUGCGAAGGAACACCAGAGGCGAAGGCGCCUUCCUGGACGAGUAUUGACGCUGAGGCGCGAAAGCGUGGGGAUCAAACAGGAUUAGAUACCCUGGUAGUCCACGCUGUAAACGAUGAACACUAGGUAUUGGAGGAUUUGACCCCUUCAGUGCCGUAGCUAACGCGUUAAGUGUUCCGCCUGGGAAGUACGGUCGCAAGACUAAAACUUAAAGAUAUCGACGNGNGAGAGCGACGACGACGACGAGAGGAGAGG